UUGCGCCUUGCUCAUAUUAGGCGUUUAAUUAACUUUAGGUAACUGAUUAUUGAAUGAAUCCCAGGCAAAUUACCUUCGGAGUUCACCUUCAUAAAUCCGGACCCCCGCAAUUCCUUUUAUAGGCGGAAGGAGGAAUAUUGCGAUGAUUAAUAAUCGCGCAGCAGGGUUGCUGAUGUAAAGCGAUUUGCAGAUGUAAAGGGCAAUAAGCAUUCCUAGGAGGAAUCCAGCGAGAUUCCAGAAGUCUCCGAGGGAGCCGUGGGUGUGUGCCGCCGGAUCAGGAGGGCGGGGGCGGGGCGGGCAGUGCCGCAGUGGCCUCAGCUGGGGAGCCGACUGCGGGCGGAGGGUUAACUCUUCAAGCUGCUGGCUCGCGGGCUCACUGCCCCCAUCCCCCUGCCCGUUACCCCGUUCUUCUGGCCAGAGGAGUGUCUGUUUUUCAAAAUUUCAGAGCUGGAACGCACAUCAUACUAUUCUCUAAUUCAGCCUUUCCGUUUCACAAAUGGAGAAACUAAGGCCCAGAGAAGUUGGUUCACCCCUCCAAACUUGCAUAGCUAGUUAGAGACAGGUGAAAGCCAGGUUUCCGGGCUUCAUAUUAGUGUCCCUUGCACCUCACCUCUAACUCCCUGUGCUCUUGUGGCUGCGGGACCCUGUUGCCUGGCUCAGAUGGUGGGGUGUACAAUGAAGCUAAAUACUGACUUCAGGGCUCCUAAAGGAUGCGAGUGGCACGUCUACAGCCAUACACAGCCCCACAGCAUGACACUAGGGCCUGGGGUGAUGGCCAGGAGGGGUGUCCUCCCCAAACAACCAGCAUUCCUCCUGUAUUGAAGGACUGUAGUGGCUGGAAUGGCUACCCUUGUCCAGAGAACCUGAGUUGGCUGUCCUGAAACCAGUCUUAGACGAUCAGUUGGUCCUUUUUCAAUUACCCAAGCCUUGCAUUAACCUUUUCUCAGCCAAGUCGACAGCAGAAGGCAUGAGUAACCUGAAGCCAUGGAAACCCCAUUGGAACGUCUUUUCAUGGCUGAAUAUGAAGGCAGCUCAGACCGAGAAGACUGGUGCCCACCGCUCGCCUCCGGGCAUCCCUCCUGGCGGAGUUGGGAAGUCUGGGAUCCUUCGCCUCUCUCUCUGAUCGUGCGGAGCCAUAGCUGCAGAAGCAGCAGCUCUGCCCCCUGCUGGACACGUGAGGCAGCCCGCACUUUUCCUGUUCCAGAUGCAGCGCCCUUGUGGUGCUGGGGGGAAGAGAUUUUUUGGCUCACUCUGAUGGAAACAGCAAAACUGGGCGGAAUAAAAAUCCCAGGUUUUUUUUCUCUCUAGUUUAUUUCUGAGGAUCUGAUCUAUUUGGAUGCAGAAAACAUUUCUGUUGUUUCUCUUGCCUGGACGGCUUUUUUCCUUCCUGCUAGCCAAACCCGGCCCCUUUCAAGCCCUGUUUCAGAGUCCACCUCCUCCAAAACGCCCUUUCUGACUCUCCUCUCCUAUGUGAAUGUUUUGAAAUACAGCUAUGCACAGACCCGGCCCACGGAGUGCACACUCACAUACUGGCUUUACUGUUGUGUCCUUGAGGGUGGGGGCCAGGUUUGUGUGGCCUUUGUGUUCACAGACCCCGCCCGUAAGGUCCAGCACAGAGCUGGGGAUGAAACCUGCUGGCAAGCCCUUGUUGAUUAAUGGAUUAAUUAAUCAAUUAGUUUCUACGGAAGCAACUCCAAGCCUUUGCUUUGAUAAAUCUUCCUCUUAGCUCUUUGGGGGAAUCUAGAUAGUGAUGUAAUUCAAUAUAGCCUUGCACAAUAAGUAGUUUCACAAAGCAGUUUCACAAGAGAACACCACCACCACCCAGAGAGGGAUGAGGAAGUUUGGAGUGGUCUGUUAGAAAGAUGAGGAGGAGGGUGGCGAUGUGGGAAGGAUGAAGAAUUAGGAGAGGGGAUCUCUGCUCCAGGGUUCAGCGACGCAGCACAGCCUCUAAAGCCAGGUUUAUAUCCAGACUCCACCACUUGCUGUGUGGCCUUGUACAAGUUUACUCUUCUCUCUGUGCCUCGCUUUUCUCCUCUGUAAAAAUAAGUGCCCAUCCUAUCGCGAUAUGAUGAGGAUAAAUUGACUUGAUAUUUGCAAAGUGCUAGGACAGUGUCUGGCACAUAGUAAGUGCUAUAUAACAGUUUGUAAAUGAGUUUUCCAGCUUAGCUGUCUUGUAAAUGGAAUGGGGGAAGAUUAUAUGAUCUCUCAGUUCUCUCCCGUGCUGACCUUCCGGGGCAGUGCAUGAGCUUUGCGGUCAGACAGGUCUGGGUUGACUCCUGUCUCUUUUAGCACCUGCAUGACCUGGGGCAGAUGGCUCUCCUUGGAGCCUCAGUUUUCUCUUCUGUGAAGUGGGGAUAAUUGUGUCUACCUCAAAAGACUUGUGUGCAUUCCGUGCUUGUAAAAUGCCUGGCAUGUAAGAAGCUCAAUAAACAGAAGCUCUGAUUAUUAUUAUCUAUGAGAAGAGAGCUGUAGAUAAAGGAGAAUAGAGUCUCUAAAAUCUUUGAGGUUUCAAGAAAGAUUGAACGUAUUGAAUAGCAAUGAGCUCAGCUCAAUUCACGGAGUUUGGGGGUGGGACGGUGGGCCCUGAUCUGGGCCCUGACCAGAUAGCACAACAUCAGAAGAAACCAGGAAUGGUGUGACUCACACAUCAGCUCUAGGAACAUUUUCUGCCCGAG
rnacentral:lncRNA from 1 species